AGUGAACGCUGGCGGCAGGCCUAAUACAUGCAAGUCGAACGGCAGCACAGCAGAGCUUGCUCUGUGGGUGGCGAGUGGCGGACGGGUGAGGAAUACGUGGGAAUCUGCCCAGUCGUGGGGGAUAACGUAGGGAAACUUACGCUAAUACCGCAUGCGCCCUUCGGGGAAGCCGGGGACCUUCGGGCCUGGCGCGAUUGGAUGAGCCCACGUCGGAUUAGCUAGUUGGCGGGGUAAAGGCCCACCAAGGCGACGAUCCGUAGCUGGUCUGAGAGGAUGAUCAGCCACACUGGAACUGAGACACGGUCCAGACUCCUACGGGAGGCAGCAGUAGGGAAUAUUGGACAAUGGGCGCAAGCCUGAUCCAGCCAUGCCGCGUGAGUGAAGAAGGCCUGCGGGUUGUAAAGCACUUUCAGUCGGAAAGAAAUCGCCGUUUUUAAUACAGACGGUGGAUGACGGUACCGGAAGAAGAAGCACCGGCUAACUACGUGCCAGCAGCCG
rnacentral:rRNA from 1 species